GAUGAACGCUGGCGGCGUGCCUAAUACAUGCAAGUCGAACGCAGUGGGGACGGGUGAGUAACACGUGGGUAACCUCCCCUCAGAGGGGAUAACACUUGGAAACAGGUGCUAAACUGAUACUGAUGGAUGGACCCGCGGUGCAUUAGCCAGUUGGUGAGGUAACGGCGCACCAAGGCCACGACGCAUAGCCCACCGUGAAGGGGGAUCGGCCACACUGAGACGGAGACACUGCCCAGACUCCUACGAGAGGCAGCAGUAAGGAAUCUACGGCAAUGGACGGAAGUCUGACAGAGCGACGCCGCGUAAGUGAAGAAGGUUUUCGGAUCGUAAAACUCUGUUGUUAGAGAAGCGGUAUCUAACCAGAAAGCCACGGCUAACUACGUGACAGCAGCCGCGGUAAUAC
rnacentral:rRNA from 1 species